rnacentral:rRNA from 1 species
CCCUUAGAUGUUCUGGGCUGCACGCGCGCUACACUGUCGGAUUCAGCGAGUCAUAUCCUUAACCGAAAGGUUUGGGUAAUCUUUUGAAAGUCCGACGUGAUGGGGAUUGAUCAUUGCAAUUAUUGAUCAUGAACGAGGAAUUCCUAGUAAGCGCGAGUCAUCAGCUCGCGUUGAUUACGUCCCUGCCCUUUGUACACACCGCCCGUCGCUACUACCGAUUGAAUGGUUUAGUGAGAUGUUCGGAUUGGCGCCUACGCGGCUUCUCUGAGGCCACGCUGGAUGCCGAAAAGUUGCUCAAACUGUAUCAUUUAGAGGAAGUAAAAGUCGUAACA